UACGAAGGGGGCUAGCGUUGUUCGGAAUCACUGGGCGUAAAGGGCGCGUAGGCGGCCGAUCAAGUCGGGGGUGAAAGCCUGUGGCUCAACCACAGAAUGGCCUUCGAUACUGGUUGGCUCGAGACCGGAAGAGGUGAGUGGAACUGCGAGUGUAGAGGUGAAAUUCGUAGAUAUUCGCAAGAACACCAGUGGCGAAGGCGGCUCACUGGUCCGGUUCUGACGCUGAGGCGCGAAGGCCAGGGGAGCAAACGGG
rnacentral:rRNA from 1 species